rnacentral:misc_RNA from 1 species
GAAAUGCGAUACUUGGUGUGAAUUGCAGAAUCCCGUGAACCAUCGAGUCUUUGAACGCAAGUUGAGCCCGAACCCAAUUCCAAGCUACAGUCAAGCUUCAUAGGGUCUUUCUGUCC